rfam:Larimichthys crocea isolate SSNF unplaced genomic scaffold scaffold124, whole genome shotgun sequence.
GUGGGUUAUGGGGACAUGCACCCCGUGACAAUCGGGGGAAAGAUUGUGGGGUCUCUGUGCGCCAUCGCCGGUGUGUUGACCAUUGCUUUGCCUGUACCCGUCAUCGUCUCCAAU